rnacentral:tRNA from 1 species
GCCCGGAUAGCUCAGUCGGUAGAGCAGAGGAUUGAAAAUCCUCGUGUCGGUGGUUCGAUUACGCCUCCGGGCACCA